rnacentral:rRNA from 1 species
GAAGAAGGCGGGCGGCGUGCUUAACACAUGCAAGUCGAACGGAAAGGCCCUGCUUUUGUGGGGUGCUCGAGUGGCGAACGGGUGAGUAACACGUGAGUAACCUGCCCUUGACUUUGGGAUAACUUCAGGAAACUGGGGCUAAUACCGGAUAGGAGCUCCUGCUGCAUGGUGGGGGUUGGAAAGUUUCGGCGGUUGGGGAUGGACUCGCGGCUUAUCAGCUUGUUGGUGGGGUAGUGGCUUACCAAGGCUUUGACGGGUAGCCGGCCUGAGAGGGUGACCGGCCACAUUGGGACUGAGAUACGGCCCAGACUCCUACGGGAGGCAGCAGUGGGGAAUAUUGCACAAUGGGCGGAAGCCUGAUGCAGCAACGCCGCGUGCGGGAUGACGGCCUUCGGGUUGUAAACCGCUUUCGCCUGUGACGAAGCGUGAGUGACGGUAAUGGGUAAAGAAGCACCGGCUAACUACGUG